rnacentral:rRNA from 1 species
CACGGGUGAGUAACGCGUAUGCAACCUACCUAUCAGAGGGGAAUAACCGGCGAAAGUCGGACUAAUACCGCAUAAAACAGGGGCACGCAUGGUGAUAUUUGUUAAAGAAUCGCUGAUAGAUGGGCAUGCGUUCCAUUAGGUAGUUGGUGAGGUAACGGCUCACCAAGCCGACGAUGGAUAGGGGAACUGAGAGGUUGGUCCCCCACACUGGUACUGAGACACGGACCAGACUCUACGGGAGGCAGCAGUGAGGAAUAUUGGUCAAUGGGCGGGAGCCUGAACCAGCCAAGUCGCGUAGAAGGAAGAAGGAUCUAUGGUUCGUAAACUCCUUUUGCAGGGGAAUAAAGUGCAGGACGUGUCCUGUUUUGUAUGUACCCUGAGAAUAAGGAUCGGCUAACUCCGUGCCAGCAGCGGC